CAAUAGCGUAUAUUAAAGUUGUUGCAGUUAAAAAGCUCGUAGUUGGAUUUCUGGUGGGAGCACGGGUCGGCCCUCACGGGUUGUACUGUUGUUGCGUCCUGCCGUUUCGGAGGGAAUGGCCUCGCUAUUAAGUUAGCGUGGUCGGGAACUCUGUCGUUUACUGUGAAAAAAUUAGAGUUGUUCAAAAGCAGGCCUUCGCUGUGAAUACAUUAGCAUGGAAUAAUAAGAUAGGACUGUAGUGCUAUUUUGUUGGUUUGCGUUACUAUGGUAAUGAUUAAUAGGGAUAGUUGGGGGUAUUCAUAUUUCGAAUUGUCAGAGGUGAAAUUCUUGGAUUUAUGGAAGAUGAACUACUGCGAAAGCAUUUACCAAGGAUGUUUUCAUUAA
rnacentral:rRNA from 1 species